rnacentral:rRNA from 1 species
AAUACGACUCUCGGCAACGGAUAUCUCGGCUCUCGCAUCGAUGAAGAACGUAGCGAAAUGCGAUACUUGGUGUGAAUUGCAGAAUCCCGUGAACCAUCGAGUCUUUGUACGCAAGUUGCGCCCGAGGCCUUUAGGUCGAGGGCACGUCUGCCUGGGCGUCACAAUCA